UACGAAGGUUGCAAGCGUUACUCGGAAUUACUAGGCGUAAAGGGCAGGUAGGUGGUUUGGUAAGUCUAUUGUGAAAGCUCCCGGCUUAACUGGGAGAGGCCAAUGGAUACUGCCAAGCUUGAGUAUAGGAGAGGUUACUGGAAUUCCCGGUGUAGCGGUGAAAUGCGCAGAUAUCGGGAGGAACACCAAUGGCGAAAGCAGGUAACUGGACUAUUACUGACACUCAACUGCGAAAGCUAGGGGGAGCAAACAGGG
rnacentral:rRNA from 1 species